GUUGCUUUAACAAAGUCAAUGUCACAAUGUAACAAAACAAACAAACAAACCUUAGAUGGUUUUGGAUACCAGGCCAUAUUCCAGAUCAACUAAUUAUAACUUGCCCCACACUCCACCUAAUUUAAUACAUUCAUUGCAAUACCAUGUAAUGCCACUAGGGAGCAGCACAGACAAAGGAAUAUCCUCCUGCGUUUAAAAACAAUCUCAUCUGACCGCCUCUGUCAAGACGUGAAACUUGUCAUGAAACACAAAUUAGAAGCUAACAGAGAAAAUAACACUUUCAAAAAACAAUGAUACAUUUACACAACAAGGAGCAACAUGAUCCCAGUGAAGCAUAAACACAAGAUCCACCAAUUAGUCUUCACAUAAAAACCUGAAAUGAAGCGACUGAAGACAUGAAGGGUGCAGGACGUCCUCUUUAAUGGAGGCCCAAGCCAUGCGUGGUGUGGUGAAGCUGGCGGCCUAGUCCCCCGUGGAGGACACAACAAUAGCUCCUCCGCAUCCCUUCACUCUCUCUCCCAUGUACUGAAGUGUGGCUGAUUUCCCUGCUUUUCACAAAGAAAACACUCAAGUAUGUGGCAGUGUCAGCAAAGUUAGCAGUAGAAGUUUAUUUGGCUGGCAACAGCUGACCAUGUAUUUUUGCUGUACUUCCUCAGAAACAUUUCCGGUUAGAGUUGCAC